AAAGGCAAAAGCUUCAGGAAGCCAGUGGAGAUGUAAGGGAACAAACUCGAAGGUGGUCCUUGGCUUACUUGAGAAUGCUGGAUCCUGUCUGUUAUAUGCAGAUUUCACCAGAUGCCAGGGGAGGGGUACUCUGCCUCACCAGAAGAGGACCUGGAAUUGCAUAACUACAAGGACAACUUGUGUGACUUCUAAAACAGGGCCCUACAUGGAAAAAUUAUUAUUCAUCUUUGGAGAGAACAUCUUGUCAAGUGGAGCUGUUCAACAAAACAAGGAAAACAUCUCUGCCAAAGCACAGCAAAUGUGAUUACCAAGCCAAGGAGAAGCCCAUAAUUAGAUCAUUUCCAUGGAAACAACCUAAUUACAUGUGUAAAGCAGUGAGAGCUGAGCUGUGCAUUGAAUAUGCUAAUACCAUUGUCUAUGUUGUAAUGUUUCUGCUACUUAGCUUCCCUCAAAUAUAAAAUAUAAACCGUGUAGAUAAACCCCAACUUCUUUUCUUUUUUUUCACUUAGCAAAGGGAAUAAAGACCCACUGUGCAUUGCAAAUGAAUGUAAUCCUGG
ensembl:lncRNA AABR07009634.2